UACGUAGGGCGCGAGCGUUGUCCGGAAUUAUUGGGCGUAAAGAGCUCGUAGGCGGCCUGUUGCGUCUGCUGUGAAAUCCCGGGGCUCAACCCCGGGCGUGCAGUGGAUACGGGCGGGCUAGAGGCAGGGCAGGGGAGAACGGAAUUCCCGGUGUAGCGGUGAAAUGCGCAGAUAUCGGGAGGAACACCGGUGGCGAAGGCGGUUCUCUGGGCCUGUUCUGGACGCUGAGGAGCGAAAGCAUGGGGAGCGA
rnacentral:rRNA from 1 species